UUCUUCUGAGCAUUACAGUCUCUAGAAAUGUGCUUAUAAACUGCAUAGGGGCUUCUGAAAACAAACAGGAAAGCACACACAUUGCCAGAAAACAAGGACUGAGAUCUAAGGAGUCUCGUGACUUACCUUCUUGAUGGAUCCUCAAAGUUCGCCAAGGAAAAUUUAAAAUCCUCUAGCUUUUCAUAAACUACUCUCUUUUCUUUUCCUCUUCUCCUUUUUUUUUCUUUUUAAAGUCACAUAGGAGAAAAAUAAUCAGUUUUCAAAGGUUCCAUUUAUCUGAUUUUCCAGCACCAGCAAAAAACGUGUCCAAGAGACUCCGCCAAAAAAGUAAGCCAAAAACUCAUCAAAGGCAAAAGGAGAAGGGAAAGUGGAGAAGGGAGGGCCAGGGAGAGCUGGGGGCUCCAGACGCGAGCCCACGUGCCCCGAGAUUAUUUUCACGCUGUUGAAAUCUCCUACUGUACGAUAUACCUGCUCCGGCUGUCACACAAACACACCACACACACACACACACACUCACGCAUUCCCUUUCAUGCAAAAGCAGGCACCCGCACUCACAAACACACGCGCACUCCCAGGACCCCUCCGUGUCAUGAGAACUGUCAGGAGCCUCAACCUCCAAGAGAGAGCUGCUGCCUGCUGCAGAAGGUCUGGCUGGCUGUUACCUUCCCGGGUCUGUCUGUGGACGAUCAAAGGAACAUCCAAAAUCAAGAAGGGGCCCCUGGGACUAGAUGGAUUCCGGAUCCCUCUUCCCCAGGCAGAUGCAUCAAGUCAAGAGCAGACUCAUGGAGAAAAAAAAUCACUUUCUGGAUUAAUUCUGAACUUAAGCAGAAUAUGGACUUAGAAAAUCUCAUUGCAACUCACUGCUUCUGUGUCAAGACUUGCUCUGAAGCCAAUACUAUCACCAAACACUAA
rnacentral:lncRNA from 1 species